CAAUCAUCUUUGGUGCUUAAAAAAAAGGCCAUAGAAGAUAAUAUAGGAAGAUUUUUUAAUUUAAAUGGAAUACUUUACUUUGCAAGCAAUUUAAUUAUGACCAUGGACGCUGCUUUUUCUUAUUGCUGCAAAAUUCAAAUGAAUUUGUGGACUUGGAAAUCACCAACGGAUGGCUCACAAAUGGUCCAAAUUCUUCAAUCGAUAGGUUGGAUUGCGGCAUAGCAAAAGAAAUGACAAUAUACGUAGCCGUAAUUUUUUGGAAUCAGGAUACAAC